UACGUAGGGUGCAAGCGUUGUCCGGAAUUAUUGGGCGUAAAGAGCUCGUAGGCGGUCUGUCGCGUCGGCUGUGAAAUCCCGAGGCUCAACCUCGGGUCUGCAGUCGAUACGGGCAAACUGGAGUGUUGCAGGGGAGACUGGAAUUCCUGGUGUAGCGGUGAAAUGCGCAGAUAUCAGGAGGAACACCGGUGGCGAAGGCGGGUCUCUGGGCCGUAACUGACGCUGAGGAGCGAAAGCGUGGGGAGCGAACAGG
rnacentral:rRNA from 1 species